CCUACGGGGGACAGCAGUGGGGAAUAUUGCACAAUGGGCGAAACCCUGAUCCAGCCAAGCCGCGUGAGUGAAGACGGUUCUCGGAUUGUUAAGCUCUGUUAGCAGGGAAGCGGAAGGACGGUACCUGCAGAGGAAGCCACGGCUAACUACGUGCCAGAAGCCGCGGUAAUACGUAGGUGGCAAGCGUUGUUCGGAAUAACUGGGCGUAAAGGAUGCGUAGGCGGUUAAACAAGUUAUAUGGUAAAUAUAUAGGCUUAACCUGUAGAAAGCAUAUAAAACUGUUUAACUAGAGUGCAGGAGAGGUAAGUGGAAUGCCUAGUGUAGCGGUGAAAUGCGUAGAGAUCAGGAAGAACACCAGUGGCGAAGGCGACUUACUGGACUGUAACUGACGCUGAGGCAUGAGAGCAUGGGGAGCAAACAGGAUUAGAUACCCGUGUAGUC
rnacentral:rRNA from 1 species